rnacentral:tRNA from 1 species
GCUCACUUGGUGAAAAUGGUAAACACGGCAGACUUAAAAUCUGUUCCAUUGACAAGGGUUAUCGGUUCAAGUCCGAUAGUGAGCA